UGGGGAAUAUUGCACAAUGGGCGCAAGCCUGAUGCAGUCAUGCCGCGUGUAUGAAGAAGGCCUUCGGGUUGUAAAGUACUUUCAGCGGGGAGGAAGGGAGUAAAGUUAAUACCUUUGCUCAUUGACGUUACCCGCAGAAGAAGCACCGGCUAACUCCGUGCCAGCAGCCGCGGUAAUACGGAGGGUGCAAGCGUUAAUCGGAAUUACUGGGCGUAAAGCGCACGCAGGCGGUUUGUUAAGUCAGAUGUGAAAUCCCCGGGCUCAACCUGGGAACUGCAUCUGAUACUGGCAAGCUUGAGUCUCGUAGAGGGGGGUAGAAUUCCAGGUGUAGCGGUGAAAUGCGUAGAGAUCUGGAGGAAUACCGGUGGCGAAGGCGGCCCCCUGGACGAAGACUGACGCUCAGGUGCGAAAGCGUGGGGAGCAAACA
rnacentral:rRNA from 1 species